rnacentral:rRNA from 1 species
GUCCUACGGGACGCAGCAGUCGGGAAUAUUGGUCAAUGGCCGGAAGGCUGAACCAGCCAAGUCGCGUGAGGGAAUAAGGCCCUAUGGGUCGUAAACCUCUUUUGUCAGGGAGCAAAGGCGUCCACGUGUGGACGAGAGGAGAGUACCUGAAGAAAAAGCAUCGGCUAACUCCGUGCCAGCAGCCGCGGUAAUGCGGAGGAUGCGAGCGUUAUCCGGAUUUAUUGGGUGUAAAGGGUGCGUAGACGGGAAUGCAAGUUGGUUGUGAAAUCCCUCGGCUUA